rnacentral:rRNA from 1 species
GGAAGUAAAAGUCGUAACAAGGGUCAUUACCACACCAUAAAAACUUUCCACGUGAACCGUUGAAAUCAUGUUCUGUGCUCUCUUUCGGGAGGGCUGAACGAAGGUGGGCUGCUUAAUUGUAGUCUGCCGAUGUAUUUUUCAAACCCAUUUACCUAAUACUGAUCUAUACUCCAAAAACGAAAGUUUAUGGUUUUAAUCUAUAACAACUUUCAGCAGUGGAUGUCUAGGCUCGCACAUCGAUGAAGAACGCUGCGAACUGCGAUACGUAAUGCGAAUUGCAGAAUUCAGUGAGUCAUCGAAAUUUUGAACGCACAUUGCACUUUCGGGUUAUGCCUGGAAGUAUGCCUGUAUCAGUGUCCGUACAUCAAACUUGCCUUUCUUUUUCUGUGUAGUCAGGGAGAGAGAUGGCAGAAUGUGAGGUGUCUCGCUGGCUCCCUUUUCGGAGGAGAAGACGCGAGUCCCUUUAAAUGUACGUUCGCUCUUUCUUGUGUCUAAGAUGAAGUGUGAUUCUCGAAUCGCGGUGAUCUGUUUGGAUCGCUUUGCGCAUUUGGGCCGACUUCGGUUAGGACAUUAAAGGAAGCAACCUCUAUUGGCGGUAUGUUAGGCUUCGGCCCGACGUUGCAGCUGACAGAGGGGGGUUUCUGUUCUUUCCUUGAGGUGUACCUGAAUUGGUGUGAGGCAAUGGUCUGGGCAAAUGGUUGCUUGGGUAGUAGGGGUUUUUGCUGCUCUUGGACCCCCUGUUUUUCGGAUAGGGGUAAAAGGAGGCACCACCCAUUUUGGGACUGGUUGCAAUUUAUUGGUGAACAACUUUUUUAAUUGGGACCUGCAUAUCAAUAAGCGGAGGA